rnacentral:rRNA from 1 species
UACGAAGGGGGCUAGCGUUGCUCGGAAUCACUGGGCGUAAAGCGCACGUAGGCGGCUUUUUAAGUCAGGGGUGAAAUCCUGGAGCUCAACUCCAGAACUGCCUUUGAUACUGAGAAGCUUGAGUCCGGGAGAGGUGAGUGAAACUGCGAGUGUAGAGGUGAAAUUCGUAGAUAUUCGCAAGAACACCAGUGGCGAAGGCGGCUCACUGGCCCGGUACUGACGCUGAGGUGCGAAAGCGUGGGGAGCAAACAGG